UUGCCUUGACCUCCGUGGCUCUGGGACCCUGAGCGAUCCUCUUCUCUCAGGCCCCCGAGUCUGCGGCGGGGCAUCUGGAGCCCCACAGCCAGAGACUGAGCACACGCCAGAAACAGCUCCACCUCAUAAAGAAAACACCAGACUUGGAUAAGACUUUUCUGGAGAUUUCCAUCAGUUGUGAGCUCCGUGUUUGAGGCUGGACUUGAGAUGUCCUUGCAGCUGUGACCACAGGAAAAUACAUGACGGCUGGGAUGCGGUCUCCUCGGUGCUAACGUGGGGCCAGUGACGGCCUGCAGACUGAGCUCUACCUACCAAGCUCUUGGCUCGAAGCAGGGCUCGUGUGUCAAUGUGGAUAAGUGUGCGCCUGCCCCAGCCUGAGGGCCUUGCUGACAGCCCUCCCCCCUCCUUGCCCGGCUACCAUCCACAGACCAGCUUGGAGGCAGCACUGGGAGGCUGGCAGGUUUCGUGGCCGCGGGUAACAACGGGGUGGCAAGGUGGCAGGGACUUCAGCCACUGACACAACAGAAGGAGGAUGUGUCACCUGAUGUCUGGAGGCAGCAAGAUGAAUCUUCCUCCAGCUCAGGACAUGAUCUCAUGGUUCGCGGG